GCCCGGAUGGUGGAACAGGUAGACACAAGGGACUUAAAAUCCCUCGGCCGAAAGGCCAUGCGGGUUCGAUUCCCGCUCCGGGCACCA
rnacentral:tRNA from 1 species